UUUCGAGGUAGGAGUCGACUCCUGUGAGGUAUGGUGCUGGGUGCAGAUGCAGUGUGGCUCUGGAUAGCACCUUAUGGACAGUUGUGUCCCCAAGGAAGGAUGAGAAUAGCUACUGAAGUCCUAAAGAGCAAGCCUAACUCAAGCCAUUGGCACACAGGCAUUAGACAGAAAGCUGGAAGUUGAAAUGGUGGAGUCCAACUUGCCUGGACCAGCUUAAUGGUUCUGCUCCUGGUAACGUUUUUAUCCAUGGAUGACUUGCUUGGGUAAGGACAUGAAGACAGUUCCUGUCAUACCUUUUAAAGGUAUGGAGAGUCGGCUUGACUACACUGUGUGGAGCAAGUUUUAAAGAAGCAAAGGACUCAGAAUUCAUGAUUGAAGAAAUGCAGGUUAGUUUAAACUUUGAAGGAAAUUUUUAAGGUGGCAAAAGGUUUUGGUGGCAUAUACACCUUAAUCUGUAGAUGGGAGUGAUUAGCUGUUUAAAAGUUAAAAUGUGACUGAGAAGGAAAUUGAGUAGGGCAAAUUUUAAAUGGGUAUUAUUUUUCAUCUUCAAACAGGCAGACCUGUUAUCCUAAACUAGGUGAGUCAGCUUUUGGUACAUGUGAUGAUUUUCAGUGUAACCAAUGAUGUAAUGAUUCUGCCAAAUGAAAUAUAAUGAUAUCACUGUAAAACCGUUCCAUUUUGAUUCUGAGGUUACUCUACUAACAAGCAUCACACAUUUGUAUUUUGCCCUGAUUAAUAUGUUGGCUUCGCUUUCAGGGUUUUUAAUGACCACAACAAGCAAGCAUGCAGCUUACUGCUUGAAAGGGUCUUGCCUCACCCAAGCUAGAGUGCAGUGGCCUUUGAAGCUUACUACAGCCUCAAACUUCUGGGCUCAAGUGAUCCUCAGCCUCCCAGUGGUCUUUGUAGACUGCCUGAUGGAGUCUCAUGGCACAAGAAGAUUAAAACAGUGUCUCCAAUUUUAAUAAAUUUUUGCAAUCCA
rnacentral:lncRNA from 1 species